GCAAGUCUGUUUCCGCCCGGCCUCCGCCUGCUCCGGCUGGAACGAGUCUUUCCGGUGGGGCUGCCCAGCCCGGUCCGCCCCGCCCGGCCUCCCGGAACCACGCGGAGACGCGCACGGCCCCGCCCAGGCCGAAAGCGAGCUCCGCGGGCGGGCCGCAGGGCGGGGCCGCUGGGGCGGGAGGGCCCGGGGCGUGUUCCCGCCGGGGCUGCGGGCCUCCGGGGCACCCUGACAACAGGAGAAACUGAGGCACAAACAGACUGUCUCAAGGCCGCACUAGGAGUUAGCAAACCACAGGGGCGCCCAGUGAAAGCCUGCGACGAGUGGCCUGACAGAGGCCGGGAUUUUCCCAGGCCCUGAGUCCUGGGGGUCUGAAGAGGACCAGAGGGGCUGGGGACUCCUGAAGGCCUGGGCGCCCACUUCCGGGACAUCUCCGCCGGGUGGAACGAGCCGGAUCGCCGCGAGGGUCCCCGGCCUCACGAAAUUAAUGAGGAAGAUGCCUUUCCUCAAUGGAGGAGGAGAGAUUCCGUUUAACCUCUGCAGACAGCAAGACAGGGACCACUCUCCCCUCAAGCCUGGCGGCAGCAUGGACUUGAGAGCACAUUAACAGGAGCCAGGAAUUGGAGGGUCUUCUCAAACUUGGCAACCGACGUUGAAUUGCCUGAGCUGGAGCUCAGGAUGACCGACCCAUGUCUUGCUCUGACUUUGCACAUCUCAGUUCUCACUUAUCUGUUCAAGAAAUAUUAUUGAGGACCUUCAUUCUGCUUGAGCUUCUGAAAUUAUGGAUCUCAAACUCUAGAUUAGAAAAUGACAAAGAAGCCAUGAAAUGGAAGGGUAGAAGGCUUUGCAGAAGAACCGAUGUUUGUUAUGAGUCCUGACAGAUGAAAAGGAGUUCCCUCGGUGGUGUCAGUUCAUCUUCUGUAAGAUAACAUGGUUAAACUAGAUCUACAAGAGGACUCAUUUAGUCCUAAUAGAUUCCGUGUUUAUGACCCGCCUGUAACCAAUUUUUUUCUUCUGUGUGUAUCCCUCUAGGGAGUUGAGAGACCUCCAUUGACUUCCUGUCAUCAUCUCUUAUUUUGGUAGCUGAAGCAAUCCAACUUGAGCUUUUGGUCUUGAAUUUCCCAGUUGUGUUUGGAAGCCAAAGCAUUGUCACAUUAGCUCAUCUAUAAUCUUCUUAGGGAAUGGUCUCUUGAGCUCACAGAUUUAUUUCCAUCCAUCCAGUUCCCGAGGCAUUUCACUUAGUAACCUUAGUGGUACAUUUGCUGGUAAUUAUGCCCAGCCUUGGUCAUAAAGCCCGUUUGCUCAACAACAAGAUGUGAGUGCCUGCAGUCAAUACUCUCAGCCUUCCCAACUGCUCUUGUCUUCCCUCUCUUCCUCUAGGACACGCAGCUCAGGAUACAACAUGCAGCCAGGACUUCGAUUAACUAGGAUCCUGAUACUCUGCCACAACAGGUCAAAUUUCGUGCUUUGAUGGCCUUUUCAUCCAUGGGACAGGAGCCAGCUGCUAGGGCAAAGCUUGAAACAGCAGUGGUCAUCUGACAAGUAGUUGGCUAAUUACCUAUCUAUUCUGCUAUGGAAAAUUAUGGGGUUUUUUUAUCUUCUCAAUUUUUAUGGAUGUUUGCACUGUAAAAGAACAAUUUGUGAAACUUUUAGAGAAGUAAGAUAACAGUCUUCAAAUUUGGUUGCUGUAUGUUCAUUGAGUGAGUUUGCCUGCGCUAUGAUGCAGUCAGACACACUGUCUUCUUAGGAACCUGGCAAGUAUCUUGCAGUGUGAUCCAGAGCCUGGUGGAGGGCUUGGAAUGCUAGGGACUCCCCUAAUUCUCGCUGCUAUAAAGCAAAGGUACACUUCACUGUGGUAAAAAAUAUUGGGAAGUUAGCUGUUAUAUAUUGUAUGUUUCCAGUGACUGACUGCUCCAAAGCUUCUUAUACUAAUUUAAUUAGAAUAAUUUACCUUAAUAGAAAACUAUAAUUUUCUACUUUUUCCAA